CUGAGUGCCCGUUUACUCAGUCUGACCACCUGUUGAAGGUAACGUGCUAACAUGGCUAACGCUAGCAUCACCCCACGUAGCCCCGUUAUUUUAAGGUCAUUUUAGCUUAUGAAAAUUUUACGUCGCAGCUGUACGAGCUAGCUACGUGUUUUGUAAGCUGCUGUGCUCUUCACAAAUAAAGCUGGAAGCAGCUCAGACUGUUAGAACCAGCACUGAGGCCUGUUACAUUUAUACAAUGUUAGAGCAAUGGCUGCAACCUACAGCCUUUAAACUAGUGAUUACAAUGCUGACAGUAAACUCGUCAGUCCAGAUGUUACCACAUUACUUUGUGAUACUUAGAGUUAAAACAACUGAGACAGGCUGAUUAAAAUAACAGCUGUCAGUUCUCUCAUUCCUUCUAGCAAGACUGGAGAUCACACUACUGAUUUCAGUUCAUUUAAUAUGUGAGUGCACAGAUUCAUUCUCAACUGGACAUAAAUGAUGAUCAAAGGUUGUAUAUAUGAUGAAUUCAUCAAAUCCCAGCCUCUAAGCAUUCACUGAACCUACAGUAUCUACACCUGUGUGGUAAAGAUACAGAUAAUGAAGUUUAAUUAUUAAUACAAUAUACAUCAUGAAAAACAAAAGCUGAAAUUGAUUCAGUUUAGUACUUUUCUCUGUAUGUUCUGUGAUUAUAAAUGCCUUAAAUUCUGUGAUAUAUACUGUAAAUGAUUUUCACAGAGGUCUUAAAGUACUUAAAUCACUGCUGAUAGUCUGGUUGUUUAUAUUUUCAUGUUUUUGUGUCUGUAAGGCUGUUUGAUGACGAUUUGGACUCCUCUGGGAGAUGAGGACACACCCACAUCUGUUCCAUACUGCAGCCAUGGAUGGUGUUACGGCUCUGAGUCAGCUUUGGGCCAUCAGAUGCACACACUGGAAAACCAGCGCUUGUACUUCAUGCAGGAGAGAUGACCUCAGUGAUAAUUCAUCAGCAGCUGUGAAGAGAUGUAUUUGAAUAUCUUCUGGUUCCACUUUUCUUAACCUGGAAGCUGAGUAUUGCUGAUUCCUGACAAGGACACACACCUCAGCGCUUAUCAUGGGUGUUACAUCCUCUCUGCCGCAAUUCCAGAGAAAACGAGAGAGCAACGACCACUCAUUAAGACCAGACAGAAAUCUGUCACUUUCUGGCAGCUGUGAAAACUUCCAAUAAGAAAGUUUGCAUUCUUAGAACAAUGCUGGGUCAUGUGUGAUGUGUCAUUAUAUGAGGAUAUUACAUUUUGACUUAAUUCUGCUCAAUUAAGUGUUUUGUUCGUUGAUCCAAUAUGGCAGCUUUUUAUUGUGCUCCAAGUUAAAACUCAUUGUCCUCAUGAGCGCAGCAUCUAACAACUCUCCUUUAAAAAGUCGAUUGACUUUAACUGGACACAAUGGUUUCCAGUGGGAGAUACAUUCAUCACUCAUCCGUGACACUGGAGAAGUCACCUGAGUGAGUGAUAAAACAAUUUUCCAUGGAAAAUCCAGAGGAACUAAACUUUGUUGUUGUUUCUUUGGGCUCAAUUUCAGCUCUAGCAGCAUCUCUCAGAAGAAAACCGUUUUGCAAAUAAUCAGAUAAAAAGAUUGUUGAACUAGGUGGUAUUCUCUGGAGUUUAAGACCAAAACUGAACUCAAACAGUGAAUUGACAUUAGACUGGAAUUCAUAAGAUGAAUAGAAAUACUGCUGAAGCUGAAUGAUUCAUUCAUGUAUAUAUAUAUGACUUUUUUUCCCCCCCCAAUUCACCAGGUCUGUAAAGUUCAGUAUGACUGUGGUACAUGAUACAAAAGAAUAAAUACAGAAGAAUAAAAACUUUGUGAAUAACUUUACUCUUCUUAAAAAUAACUCAUGAAACAAGUAAAAGUACAAAUGUGUACAAGUUAGAGACUACCUCAGUAAGUUUACACUCUUUUGGAGUGAUUUUAAUUGUGUGUUAAAGAGAAAGAGAUUAGGAGGUAAAGUAGAGGAUGCAGAGUCAAUCAUCACUGAGGCCGUCUCUCCUGCAUGAAGUCCAGGCGCUGGUUUUCCAGUGUGUGCAUCUGAUGGCCCAAAGCUGACUCAGAGCUGUAACACCAUCCAUGGCUGCAGUAUGGAACAGAUGUGGGUGUGUCCUCAUCUCCCAGAGGAGUCCAAAUCGUCAUCAAACAGCCCUACAGACACAAAAACAUGAAAAUAUAAACAACCAGACUAUCAGCAGUGAUUUAAGUACUUUAAGACCUCUGUGAAAAUCAUUUACAGUAUAUAUCACAGAAUUUAAGGCAUUUAUAAUCACAGAACAUACAGAGAAAAGUACUAAACUGAAUCAAUUUCAGCUUUUGUUUUUCAUGAUGUAUAUUGUAUUAAUAAUUAAACUUCAUUAUCUGUAUCUUUACCACACAGGUGUAGAUACUGUAGGUUCAGUGAAUGCUUAGAGGCUGGGAUUUGAUGAAUUCAUCAUAUAUGCAACCUUUGAUCAUCAUUUAUGUCCAGUUGAGAAUGAAUCUGUGCACUCACAUAUUAAAUGAACUGAAAUCAGUAGUGUGAUCUCCAG
ensembl:lncRNA